GACGAACGCUGGCGGCGUGCCUGACACAUGCAAGUCGGACGGUUCUUGUAUCUUCAAGCUUGCUUGCAGGUGCAAGGAUAGUGGCGGACGGGUGAGUAACGCGUGAACAUCUACCCAUUGGAGGGGGACAACCCGUCGAAAGGCGGGCUAAUACCGCGUAAGCCGCGAGGUGAGAGGCUGCCUAUUGGUGGCCGCCGAUGGAUGGGUUCGCGUCCUAUCAGCUGGUUGGUGGGGUAACGGCCUACCAAGGCGAAGACGGGUAGCCGGUCUGAGAGGAUGGCCGGCCACACUGGAACUGAGACACGGUCCAGACUCCUACGGGAGGCAGCAGUGGGGAAUAUUGGGCAAUGGGGGAGACCCUGACCCAGCGACGCCGCGUGAGGGAUGAAGGUUUUCGGAUCGUAAACCUCUGUUGUACGGGAAGAAGGAUGUGACGGUACCGUACGGGAAAGCCCCGGCAAACUACGUG
rnacentral:rRNA from 1 species